CUAACAGCCCUGGAGACAGAGCUCCUCUCUUUAUCCACAGAACAGGAACAACAUGGAUAGACCAGCAGCACUGGCUUCCCCAAAACGUUGGUCUGCCAAUGUGUCACCCCAGAGGGACCAGGACUACAGGUGAGAGGGGAAGGCAAUCUCCAUGACUCAUUCAGUCCCUGACCUCA
rnacentral:sRNA from 1 species